rnacentral:rRNA from 1 species
CCCGACUGCUAUUUGGGUGAGAAUAAGCCAUGCGAGUUGAAUGGGAUACCUAAAGUUCCCAUAGCAAACUGCUCAGUAACACAUGAUCAACUUACCCUAUAGAGAAAAAUAACCUCGGGAAACUGAGGAUAAUGUUUCAUAAUUGAAUUGGCUUGGAAAAGUUUUCAAUGAAAAGGAUAAAAAAAAUGGUUUUUAUCUGCUAUAGGAUAGGAUCGUGUUCGAUUAUGGUUGUUGGUGAGAUAAUGGCUCACCAAGCCGAUAAUCGAUAGGGGCCGUGAGAGCGGGAGCCCCGAGAUGGGUACUGAGACAACGACCCAGGCCUUACGAGGCGCAGCAGGCGCGGAACCUCCGCAAUACACGAAAGUGUGACGGGGUUACCCAAAGUGUUCAAUUUGAACUGUGGUAGGUGAGUAAUGUCCCCUACUAGAAAGGAGAGGCAAGGCUGGUGCCAGCCGCCGCGGUAAACCAGCUCUUCAAGUGGUCGGGAUAAUAUUGGGCUUAAAGUGUCCGUAGCCGGUUUAGUAAGUUCCUGGUAAAAUCGGGUAGCUUAACUAUCUGCAUGCUAGGAAUACUGCUAUACUAGAGGGCGGGAGAGGUCUGAGGUACUGCAGGGGUAGGGGUGAAAUCUUAUAAUCCUUGUAGGACCACCAGUGGCGAAGGCGUCAGACUGGAACGCGCCUGACGGUGAGGGACGAAAGCCAGGGGAGCGAACCGGAUUAGAUACCCGGGUAGUCCUGGCCGUAAACGAUGCAUACUAGGUGAUGGUACGGCCAUGAGCCGUAUCAGUGCCGUAGGGAAACCGUUAAGUGUGCCGCCUGGGAAGUACGGUCGCAAGGCUAAAACUUAAAGGAAUUGGCGGGGGAGCACCACAAGGGGUGAAGCCUGCGGUUCA